CCAAUAGCGUAUAUUAAAGUUGUUGCAGUUAAAAAGCUCGUAGUUGAAUUUCGGGAUCAAUAUGUCGGUCGUGCCUCCGGUACGUACUGGCAUCAUUGAUUUCUCCAUUCUGACGAACCAUGAUGUCAUUAAUUUGGUGUCAUGGGGAGUCAGGACUGUUACUUUGAAAAAAUUAGAGUGUUUAAAGCAGGCUCACGCUUGAAUACAUUAGCAUGGAAUAAUGAAAUAGGACGUUUGACCCUAUUUUGUUGGUUUCUAGGAUCAACGUAAUGAUUAAUAGGGUUAGUUGGGGGCAUUAGUAUUCAAUUGUCAGAGGUGAAAUUCUUGGAUUUAUUGAAGACUAACUACUGCGAAAGCAUUUGCCAAGGAUGUUCUCAUUAAUCAAGAACGAAAGUUAGGGGAUCGAAGACGAUCAGAUACCGUCGUAGUCUUAACCAUAAACUAUGCCGACUAGGGAUCGGAUGAUGUUAAUUUUUUAAUGACUCAUUCGGCGCCUUACG
rnacentral:rRNA from 1 species